AUGUGUAUAUGGAAGCACUCAAUCGAACUGCAUUGCCGCGACACCGAAACCACGCCCAACGCCAGCAAACUGCAUGGUGGAAACCAGCGUGCCCGUGAACAGAAAGCCCAUGCUACCGGACCGCACGUCGCGAGCCAAGCAACUGCACGACCAGGUAGGAGGCAGAUCCUAGUUUUGUCAUAUGUGGCUACCCAUUUUUGUUUUGCUGGCCGCCUCGUGCAGCAGGGGAGGGGAGGCAGGCCAAGGGAAGAUGACGGGAGGCAUCUGGAAGCCCCUGUCGGUGAGCAGAAGAAUACAGGGGUUGAGGAAGGAGGGUGA
rnacentral:rRNA from 1 species